AUUCGCUUCCGUUUUGUUUCUCAGCUACCCGUCUUUUCCAUUCACUUGGAAGUUGGAAUGUCUCCACUCUCCAUCUUCACUCUCUUCGCCUCUCUCCCUCUUCUGUUUCUUUGUUUGCGAUGUUGAGGCCAGGGAUUCCUCUCCCCAUUACAUCACAAGGCCCUCUCUUUAACCCCAAAGUUGUCGCUGUCGUUUUUUCCGCAGCGGCAUCUGCAUCGGCAACGAGGUAAAGACCCUGAGGGCUCCGACGGCGUACGAGGUAGGGGAGAUAAGUGGUUGGGACAGAAGAUCCAGAGGACAUAACCUGUGCCAUCGUCAAUGGCGAACUGAGGAAACUGUUUCGUCCAUUUGGAACUUCAGUUUUCGGGUACCAUUCUGUCUUCCUUUGAAGCUCACCGAUCACAUUCUCUUCUGUUCCCAAGCUACUUCAAGAAGCCUCCAUAUCCGGAUGAAAACAUAGAAAAGAGUGCAGGCUAUGAGCUGGGUUAGAAGAUGGUGCAGUUCUUAAUUGGCUCAUCAUAUUACCCUGUUGCAUGUUGUUUCUUUGAAGACUUCUGUUAGUUGUAGACCUGUGUUCUACAUAGAGUUUAUGAUGUGGUUAAUUUGAAAAGGUGAUUUUGAACCGACGGUGGCUACUGUCAUGAAAGUAAAGCAAAUGAAUGCUUCUAAGGUAAACAUUAACUUGCCACUGCUUUUAAUCAUUUUCUCUACUGAUUGUUCCACAUUUCAUGGCAAGGGUAAAAAAACAAAUGUUUACAGAAAGAUUGGGGAAGGAGGGAACAACAGUGGAUCGGAGGUGCAUCGAGGUGUUGCUGACUGGAGGCAACACGCUACUCAUCUAUACUAUGGAAGCGGCUAGAUGAGGGCAUAGAUUCUGUUGAUGAAUGGCUAAUGAACUAAAAAGUUUUUUUUUUUCGUUUGGUUGAAUUAAGCAGCAAAAUGUUGAUGUGGCUGCUGAAAAACUCAGUGCUCAGGAUAAAGGAAUUCAAGUGUUGGUAGAUGUUUGUCAUGUUUUUAUUGCUCAACAAAGGAAGAGUUUGAUUAAAAAAGUUGUUUUUGUGAAAGUUUGUUGGUAGAUCAACUAUGAAAUUUGUAUAACAACAUGAUUUGUUAUUAGUUCUUCAGAUAAACUAGGCUGAAAAAUGUGAUAUAUGUUUGUUUCUUUUAUUCAAUCUUUUGAUACAAGGUUUCUUUUAUUCAAUCUUUUGAUACAAGGUUUCUUUUAUUUAACUUAACUUCUUAUUAUGGAUUGCACUUCUAUUUUAAUGUGCAUUUAUCUUUUGAUUUUGGACUAGAAGGUGGAAGAUUGAAAGAGAAGGAAAGGGAAUAGAGUGUUUGUCGAGAGGCGUCCAUCACAGUCAGCGUCUUCAACAGCGGGAACAUCCAUUAUGCAGGAACCAGAGGACUUCAUUAGUAAUAUGUUCUAAUUAAAUUGGGAACAACACUAGUGCAUCCCUUUGAGGCUCUGAGAAUAUCCAAGCCUCUCAAUUAAGAGACAAAGAGGAGUUUCAAAAUGGGUAGAUCUUGGAUGCUAUAAACCAUAGGGAUUUUAAUUUGACAUGAUUGAGGUCAGCCACACAAAAAUUCAGAGCUUGGUACAAGGAGAGAGCAACAUCAUCGUGGGAUAUGGAUUUGACUAUUACCAUCAAGAAAGGAUUGAAAUAUUGUUGUGUAGUAUCAUUGUGAUUACCUGUUGUGUGACCUCCCUGUCCUCCCCCUGAAAAAAAAAAGAGAAUUUGUUGAGCUUUUUAUGUUUUGUAUUGCAAUUGAUUGAAACUUAACCAGUGUUGUAUAAUAGAAAAAUGUAAUGAUCCUUAAUAAAGACUUUUGCGUUGUAUAAUGGAUGGUACCAGGUUAAUUGAAAGAGUGUAUUGAUCCUUAUUGGUGAAAUUCAAAUAUUGUUUUGCACUAUAUGAAU